UACGUAGGGUGCGAGCGUUGUCCGGAAUUAUUGGGCGUAAAGGGCUCGUAGGCGGUUUGUCGCGUCGGGAGUGAAAACUCAGGGCUUAACCCUGAGCCUGCUUCCGAUACGGGCAGACUAGAGGUAUGCAGGGGAGAACGGAAUUCCUGGUGUAGCGGUGAAAUGCGCAGAUAUCAGGAGGAACACCGGUGGCGAAGGCGGUUCUCUGGGCAUUACCUGACGCUGAGGAGCGGAAGUGUGGAGAGCGAACAGG
rnacentral:rRNA from 1 species